rnacentral:rRNA from 1 species
CGCCUCUUGUUUCUCCUAUAUAAGAGGUCCUGCCUGCCCAGUGACAUAUUGUUAAACGGCCGCGGUAUCAUGACCGUGCAAAGGUAGCGUAAUCACUUGUCUUCUAAAUAAAGACCGGUAUGAAUGGCAAAACGAGAGUUCAACUGUCUCCUUUAACCAAUCAGUGAAAUUGAUCUUUCCGUGCAGAAGCGGAAAUUUAAAUAUAAGACGAGAAGACCCUAUGGAGCUUAAAAUAUAAACCAUUUAUAAAAUAUAUACCAAAAGGCUAAUAAUUAACAUAAAUUCUGGUUAAAAUUUUAGGUUGGGGCGACCACGGAAUAAAAUAAAACUUCCGAGAUGAAAUAUAAUUCAAGGGUGACAACCCUAAAAAAAUAAAACAUUUAACAUAAUUGAUCCAAUAUUUUGAUCAACGGACCAAGUUACCCUAGGGAUAACAGCGCAAUCCUUUCCAAGAGUUCUUAUCGACGAAUGGGUUUACGACCUCGAUGUUGGAUCAGGACAUCCUAAUGGUGCAGCUGCUAUUAAGGGUUCGUUUGUUCAACGAUUAAAGUCCC